rnacentral:ncRNA from 2 species
AUUAAAUAUUAUUAAUAAGGUGUUUCUUUGUAAAAAGAAAUGAAAAGGGAAAGCGGUUAAAAUCCGCUGCAGCCCCCGCUACUGUAAUGAUGAUGAAACCUAAUAUCUCACUGAAGCUAAUGCUUUGGGAAGAGAAGGGAGUAAGAUGAAUCUGAGCCAGGAGACCUGCCUUGUUAGUUUAAACAAA